AUUGAACGCUAGCGGGAUGCCUUACACAUGCAAGUCGAACGGCGUGGGGAAAGGGUGAGUAAUGACUGGGAAGGUACCCAUUAGCGGGGGAUCACUCCGCGAAGGAGUAGCUAGUACCGCAUACGUUUUAGGCGGCCGCUAUCGGAUUAGCUAGUUGGUGGGGUAACGGCUCACCAAGGCGACGAUCCGUAGGUGAUUUGAGAGGACGAUCAGCCACACUGGGACUGAGACACGGCCCAGACUCCUACGGGAGGCAGCAGUAGGGAAUUUUGGACAAUGGGGGAAAGCCUGACCCAGCAACGCCGCGUGAGCGAUGAAGGUUUUCGGGUCGUAAAGCACUGUUGGUAGGAAAGCGGUAUCUGCCGAAAAAGCCCCGGCUAACUACGUGCCAGCAGCCGCGGUAAUAC
rnacentral:rRNA from 1 species